CCCCCCCAAUCCCCAAGCCACCCUAAGCCCCACACUCAUGGUUAUUUCAAAAAAUCCCAACCGGAUUUCUCCAAUUCCACAUCUAGGGUUCGCAUUUUGGAAGCGGUUGGCCAAGAAAUUGAGAUUCAAUUCUGCCUAUUCUCGGUAUCUUCUUUCCACCCAUUUGUAUUGCGUAUAUUUUCAGUCAUUUCAUCCUCUUUUUUCAUUCUCGGCUAGUUCAACUUAUAUGAUUCAGUCCUUAGCAUUCCUUUUGUUUUUCUUUCUAUGUUUGCUCGUCUCAAUUUUUCCUUUAUUUUUGUCUUUGAUUCAACCUCGUAUAUGUUCUCAUUAGAUUAAUGAUAGAAUUAGUUUUAGAAUCCCUAUUGAUUAGAUUAGAUUAGCUUAGAUGUUUUUCCCUUUAGUUUAAUUUUAGUUCUUUUAGUUUUUUAAUUUAUUUAAGGAUUUCUGAUCAAUCUUUCAAACUAGAAAUUUGGGUUUUGAAUCGAUUCCUAAAAUCAAUAAGCUUAUUUGAAUUGGGUCGUUUGGCUCAAACCUUUGUUUGAUAGACAUAGGUAAUUUUCGGGGGUUUAAGGGUAUAUUGGGUAGUUCUAAUUAGGGAAUCUUGAAAUAAUUGAAUUGGAAACCCCUAGAAUGUUCUAGAUGGGAUGUCAAUUACAGUCUCAGGAACUUAAGAGUUGUAACUUGGGCAACAAGUCAGAAAAUAAGGGACUAAUUGGGUAAAAUUGAAAAAUAAAAAAGGGACUAGGGGUGUAAAGCUGAAAAUCUGAGAGAAUCCUCAAGCUUGCCUAUAAAAGGCAUGCAUUCUGCCUUCAUUCACAAGUUUUGGAACACCUGAAAAAUUCCAAAAAAAAUUUAAGCAUCAAAAUCCCUUCCCUAAAAAGUUUCUACAAGAUUUACAAGCUAAAAAAAUGAAUUUCAAAUCUAACAAACUAGAUCUGAAAUUCUAAAGUCUCUUUAGAUCUUAGUCUUCAAAAACUAAAAAAUAUAUAACUGAAAACCCUAAAAAUACUGUUACAUGAAAUUCCCUUAAAUAAUUUUCGAGUUCUAGCUAUUAAUUCAAGUUUCUAGCCCAGUUAUUUUGCUGUCUGGUGGCUCUAUGCUCCUGUAAUCUAUUCCUGGACUGUUUUGAGCUUAUUCUGGGUUUGAGAUUGAUUUUGGUGCCGUUGUUGUAUUCCAAUUGUUGAUGAUUGUUGUCCCCACUGCUGACUCCUUAUCCUUUUACUUUCUUCAUUUCCAGGUACUUACUUAAUCUCCAAUGGCCACAAGUUAAGGAAACAUGUAACUGAAGUUUUGAUUUGAAAUAAAAGGCCGAUUUAAGUGCUCGAAUUGUUUAUAUGACAGAUUUCUCAUGUUAAUUUCAUGUUUAGCUUGAUCAUGUACAUGUCAAUUUAUAAUUUUGAUUUGAAAUAAAAGGCUGAUUUAAGUGCUCGAAUUGUCUAGAUUAUUGUUCAUUCAUAUGUAUCUUUUAUAUGACAAAUUUCUCAUGUUAAUUUCAUGUUUAGCUUGCUUAUUUACACGUUAGUUAAUAUGUUAGGCCAUGUAGUAGCAGCAUUUGAAACUUGGUGGAUUAGGACUUCUGACAAAUUUGUAUAACUGGAAUGUUCUUUCCUUAAUGUACUAGUUUGUUUUCAGUUAUAGUAUUUUGACUAGUUGGAACUUAAAGGAAUGCUAAUUGGAAUUACAGUAUUAGUGCAUAUUUAGCCUCAUGUCUUAUGUUGAUCAAGUGACUAGUCAUGUAUUUCAUUAAGCUUGAGAAUUUAAUAGCUCCACAUGAUUUGCUUUCAGUGGUGUAUUUCAGGGCGAGUAGUUGUUAGCAUGUGAAAUUAUCUCAAUAGUCUUCAAUUUCAAUUUAUGCCUUGUGUAAAUUAGAGUUUGAGCCAUGUCAUUAGCUCAUCAAUUACAG
rnacentral:lncRNA from 1 species